rnacentral:rRNA from 1 species
GACGUAGGGCGCGAGCGUUUGUCCGGAUUUAUUGGGCGUAAAGAGCUCGUAGGCGGCUUGUCACGUCGGAUGUGAAAGCCCGGGGCUUAACCCCGGGUCUGCAUUCGAUACGGGCAGGCUAGAGUUCGGUAGGGGAGAUCGGAAUUCCUGGUGUAGCGGUGAAAUGCGCAGAUAUCAGGAGGAACACCGGUGGCGAAGGCGGAUCUCUGGGCCGAUACUGACGCUGAGGAGCGAAAGCCGUGGGGAGCGAACAGG